rnacentral:rRNA from 1 species
ACACUGACGUCGCGACGCAUAUCAAUAAGCGGAGGAAAAGAAACUAACAAGGAUUCCCCUAGUAACGGCGAGUGAAGCGGGAAGAGCUCAAAUUUGAAAUCUUAAAGGGUUUCCCUUCACGAAUUGUAGUUUAAGGAAGUGUUUUCUGUUGAGGUUUUGGUAAAAGUUCUUUGGAAUAGGACAUCAUAGAGGGUGAGAAUCCCGUAUUUGACCAUUACUUUUCAACUUUGUGAUACACUUUCAAAGAGUCGGAUUGUUUGGGAAUGCAGUCCAAAAUGGGUGGUAAAUUUCAUCUAAAGCUAAAUAUUGGCGAGAGACCGAUAGCGAGCAAGUACCGUGAGGGAAAGAUGAAAAGAACUUUGAAAAGAGAGUUAAACAGUACGUGAAAUUGUCAAAAGGGAAGCGUUUGACACCAGUGUUGUUUUUCUGAAAAUCAAUUAAAGAACUGUUUAUGCUAAGUUGUUUAGACUUUAUCAGCUAUCUGUUUAGUUUUGAGCUUUUCUUUAAUGCACUUUUCAGUUAACAAGUCAACAUCAAUUUCUUUUGCUGUAAAAAAGCUUGAGGAAGGUGGCUUGAGAUUCGUCUUAAGUGUUUAUAGCCUCUUGCCUAUGCAGUCGGAGAGAUUGAGGUCUGCAGCGUAGAUCCUUCGGGGCUAAAUGCAUUUGUGCUAAGUUAUAGCAUUUCAUAGACAACUUGUUGACUAUGAUUUGUCUUGUAGCUUACUCGCUUAUGUUAUUUUACCUACGCUUAGGAUGUUGAACUCUAUCACACACAG